rnacentral:rRNA from 1 species
GACGGUACUGUAUUGGACUACCGUGGCAGUGACGGGUAACGGGGAAUUAGGGUUCGAUUCCGGAGAGGGAGCCUGAGAAACGGCUACCACAUCUAAGGAAGGCAGCAGGCGCGCAAAUUACCCAAUCCUGACUCAGGGAGGUAGUGACAAGAAAUAACAACACUGGAAAUUAUAUUUCUAGUGAUUGGAAUGAUGGGAAUCCAAACCCCUUUCAGAGUAACAAUUGGAGGGCAAGUCUGGUGCCAGCAGCCGCGGUAAUUCCAGCUCCAAUAGCGUAUAUUAAAGUUGUUGCAGUUAAAAAGCUCGUAGUUGGAUAUCUGCUGGAAGCAGCCAGUCCGCCCUUUGUGGGUGUGCACUUGGUGAAUUCUGGCAUCCUCCUGAUUGGUGUCAUCAUCACUUCAUUGUGUUGGUGGCAGCUGUCAGGACCGUUACUUUGAGAAAAUUAGAGUGUUUCAAGCAGGCUUGUUGCCUUGAAUACUGCAGCAUGGAAUAACAAGAUAGGAUUUCGGU